GAUGAACGCUGGCGGCGUGCCUAAUACAUGCAAGUCGAGCGAACAGACGAGGAGCUUGCUCCUCUGACGUUAGCGGCGGACGGGUGAGUAACACGUGGAUAACCUACCUAUAAGACUGGGAUAACUUCGGGAAACCGGAGCUAAUACCGGAUAAUAUAUUGAACCGCAUGGUUCAAUAGUGAAAGACGGUUUUGCUGUCACUUAUAGAUGGAUCCGCGCCGCAUUAGCUAGUUGGUAAGGUAACGGCUUACCAAGGCGACGAUGCGUAGCCGACCUGAGAGGGUGAUCGGCCAAAAUGGAACUGAAACACGGUCCAAACUCCUAAGGGAGGCAACAGUAGGGAAUUUUCCACAAUGGGCGAAAGCCUGACGGAGAAACGCCGCGUGAGAUAAGAAGGUUUUCGGAUUGUAAAACUCUGUUAUUAGGAAAAAAAAAAUGUGUAAGUAAAUAUGCACGUUUUGACGGUACAUAAUCAAAAAGCCACGGCUAACUACGU
rnacentral:rRNA from 1 species